rnacentral:rRNA from 1 species
GACGAACGCUGGCGGCGUGCCUAACACAUGCAAGUCGAGCGGGGUUGAAGCGAGGGGUAACUCGAACUUCUACCUAGCGGCGGACGGGUGAGUAACGCGUGGGCAACCUGCCUCAAGGUCUGGGAUAACAGCUCGAAAGGGCUGCUAAUACCGGAUAUGCCUAUGGCCUCGCAUGGGGCUAUGAGCAAAGGGGAAACCCGCCUUGAGAUGGGCCCGCGUCCCAUCAGCUAGUUGGUGAGGUGAAGGCUCACCAAGGCGACGACGGGUAGCCGGCCUGAGAGGGUGACCGGCCACACUGGGACUGAGACACGGCCCAGACUCCUACGGGGGGCAGCAGUGGGGAAUCUUGCACAAUGGGCGAAAGCCUGAUGCAGCGACGCCGCGUGAGCGAAGAAGGCCUUCGGGUUGUAAAGCUCUGUCUGGAGGGACGAAGAAAGUGACGGUACCUCCGGAGGAAGCCACGGCUAACUACGUG